GCGCGUGUGGUGAAAUUGGUUUGUACACUGGUCUCAGAAGCCAGUGCCGAAAGGGUUGAGGGUUCAAGUCCCUCUGCGCGCACCA
rnacentral:tRNA from 1 species